rnacentral:lncRNA from 1 species
GUGGGAUGGCCGUCCCUUCUAGGGUCUCUAGCCAGUAAGCUCUCGGCCCGUAGGUGUCGGCUAUCUUGUAGGGUCCCUCCCAAUUCGGGGAUAAUUUUCUCCGAUCCAGGGGUUUCGAGACUUCCGCCUUUCUCAAGACCAGGUCUCCAGGUCAGAAGAGCUUCGGCUUCACCCUGGCGUUGUAGUACCGAGCCACCUUUUAUC